UACAGAGGGUGCAAGCGUUAAUCGGAAUUACUGGGCGUAAAGGGCGCGUAGGUGGUUGAUUAAGUCAGAUGUGAAAACCCUGGGCUUAACUUAGGAAUUGCAUUUGAAACUGAUCGACUAGAGUUUGGGAGAGGGAAGUGGAAUUUCCGGUGUAGCGGUUGAAAUGCGUAGAUAUCGGAAGGAACAUCAGUGGCGAAGGCGACUUCCUGGCCCGAUACUGACACUGAGGCGCGAAAGCGUGGGGAGCAAACAGG
rnacentral:rRNA from 1 species